UAAUGGUGGAGAGGUGUGCACUCAGAAGAGGAAGGAAAGGGAUCUGGAUAAAAAUAGUAUCUCUGGUGACAAAAAAACUGCUGGACAGUUUUCAGGUUAUAACGGUCAGAAGCUCAUUCAAAACAGCAAUUUGUCUCACCAACCUAAGGAGUCCAUUCAAAACAGCAAUUUGUCUCACCAACCUAAGGAGUCCAUUCAAAACAGCAAUUUGUCUCAUCAACCUAAGGAGUCCAUUCAAAACAGCAAUUUGUCUCACCAACCUAAGGAGUCCAAAUUUGUACAACAGCUGGGCAAGAGGGCCAGAGAGGAAGACAGACAGCAGUUCUUUGAGAAGUUCACUGAUACAGAUGCAAAAAGAGAUGAGGGAAUGGUUAGACUGGUGGCAAAGGCCCCUGGCAAUUGGGUUG
rnacentral:lncRNA from 1 species